rnacentral:lncRNA from 1 species
GAGCUAUAUAAGUGAGAAACUCCGGAUUUCUCCACAAGAAGAAGACUACACCUAUAAUUUAAAGGAGUGUGUCUGAGUUUCCUGCAACAUCAGGAGAGGGAGAGACAGACAUCAUGAUUCCUACCAAGAUGCUACUGCUCUUGCUGUCAAUGGCUUUGCUGGCCUUGGGCUCUGCUCAGGGCAUCGAUGAAGAUGAUGAAUUGUUGAAAGAAAACCCAGAGGAAUCACAAGUGAAACCUGAAGAAGGAUAUGGAGCGGAGUACAGCAAACCUGGCAAAGAUGGUCCAGGUGGCGCUCAGGGACCAGCAGGCCAACAAGUUCAAGGUAGUCAACAGCAUCCAGGAGCCCAAGGUGGUCCAAGAGGCCCACAGCAUCCAGCAGGCCAACAAGGCCCAGGUGGCCAGCAGCGUCCAGGACCCCAAGGUGAUCCAAGUGGUCCACAGCAUCCAGCAGGCCAACAAGGUCCAGAUGGCCAACAGCGUCCAGGAGCCCAAGGUGGUCCAAGUGGUCCACAGCAUGCACCAGGCCAACAGGUACCAGGUGGCCAACAGCAUCCAGGAUCCCAAGGUGAUCCAAGUGGCCCACAGGGUCCAGCAGGCCAACAGGGGCCAAAUGACAAACAGCAUCCAGGAGUCCAAGGUGGUCCAGGUGGCCCACAGCAUCCAGCAGGCCAACAAGGUCCAGAUGGGCAACAGCGUCCAGGAGCCCAAGGUGGUCCAAGUGGCCCACAGCAUCCAGCAGGCCAACAGGGGCCAGGUGGCCAACAUCGUCCAGGAUCCCAAGGUGGUCCAAGUGGCCCACAGGGUCCAGCAGGCCAACAAGGUCCAGGUGGCCAACAGCAUCCAGGAUCUCAAGGUGGUCCAAGUGGCCCACAGGGUCCAGCAGGCCAACAGGGCCCAGGUGGCCAACAGCGUCCAGGAUCCCAAGGUGGUCCAAGUGGCCCACAGGGUCCAGGAGGCCAACAGCGUCCAGGAUCCCAAGGUGGUCCAAGUGGCCCACAGGGCCCAAGUAGCCAACAGGGUGCAGGUGGCCAGCAUGGUGGACAGUGACAAGAAAAACCAAGUAAAGAGGACCUCCUGUGAUUUUCUAGGUAUUAAUUCCAUUCUUAUUCAAUAAUCUUCUGAAUUUCUUUUGAUAUUUCCUAAUUCUCUUUUCUUGUUUCUCUUUUGUCUUAGUUAAAUUUUCACUUCAAUCUCUCUUAAAAUUGUUGUUCAUGCUAUGACUCUCCUUGCCUUAAGCUAACCCUUAAAAUCUCUCCUCCUUUUACAAUCAAGUGUUCUUUCCUUCAAACAAUUUGUUUUAUUUUCAUGCUCAUUCUUAUAUUCGCCUAUAACUUUCCCAUUUCUACCUUCCCUGUUGUCCUCUUCUUCUCUCCUCUCUUCUCUUCCCUUUACUCUCUCCUGGCCUGUUCCUCUGACAUCCUACUUCUCUCCCUUAACAUGAUGCUUGUAGUGUCUUCUAGUACCCACUAGGAGAAACACUGACAUGGAUCAAUUUCAGGCCUAACGAAUAUUUCUGUCUAAAAUUCUUCUCUUUGUUUUAGAAAUUGAGAGCUCAACUGGUGACCAUGGACUUUUCAGUCGUGUCAUCAUGGCCUUUCCUUUCUCUGACUUCAAUUCAUCAAUAAAGUCAUCAGCAUUAAAGUCCUGGCUCUUGUUUUCCUUCUAAGUCAUGGUUCUUGGUUAGAGGACAAGAAGGGCAGGUUGGAAGAUACAGCCCUGAAAGACUCCUAAUGUUGUGUAUUGUGCAGAUUUAUCUAGCUCUGAUUUUAAUAAUUUUGUGGGGACUUCACUCCCACCAAUAUUACAAAGCAGAAACAUUUUAUCCUUGAGACCAGUAAGGGAGUUUGUCAUGUUCAGAUGAGCAAUGUACACAUCCUUUUCUUAGCUUAGACACAGAGAGAAUUACCUCAUGAACUCCUUUGACUUCUGGUAGUCCUUCAAUGUAUGUAAGUUCUAUUAUGAGGUGAGGGUGUGUAGAAAGGAAACACUGUGCAGUGUUUGUGGGAAUGCACACUGGCACAGCCACUAUAAAAAACAGCAUGGUGAUUCUUCAAAGAGUUACAAAUACAACUACAAUGCAAUACAGCACUUGCCUUUCGGGUAUUUAUUGAAAGAAAGUGAAAACACUAUUUUGCAAAUAUAUGCACCCCUAAUGUUAACUGCAUCAUUAUUUAUGAGAGUCCAGCUGUGGAAGCAGCCCUCAUGGCCCUGAAUAGAGGAAUGGGUAAAGAUGUGGUACGCAUACACAAUGGAAUAUUACUCACUCUAAGGAAGAAGGAAAUCCUGCCAUUUGCCACAAUACAAAUGGAUCUAGAGAGUGUAAUGGUCACUGAAAGAAGUCAACCAGAGACAGAUAAAUACCAUAUGAUUUCAUGCAUACAUGAAAUCCAAAAGACAAAACGAAUGAGCCAACAAAACAAAACAGAACUAAUUAUCCUUUGCCUACCAGAAGGCAGGGGAUGGAAGGAUGGUCAAAUAGGAGUGAAAAGCAGAUGUAAGGUGCAAGAAUACAUUUAUAACAUAAAUAAGAUACAGGGAGAAAAGAUAUACAUAAGGAACACAGGACAGCAGUUAAGAAUAUGCAACCAUUUUGUUUGUUGUGCAUGGUAACUCAAUUUUUCUUGGUGAACCUUCACAAUGUAUAGAAAUGCUGAAUCACUAUCUUGUACACUGAAAACUAAUGUAAUAAUGUAGGUCAAGUAUGCUUCCAUCCGGGACCCUAAGAUCAUGACCUGACCCAAAGGCAGACACUUAGCCAACUGAACCACAAAAGCACUCCUAUAAAACUUAUUUUUAAUCCUCCUUUGAAUAAACACUUAACACCAAAAUAAAAUAUGUCCUUCCAAUUUUCAAAAAUUAGCUUCUCCCUCCAUAACUAAACAGGGUUUGUCAUUUAUUAAAUGAGAAAUCAAAAUACCCUUUUAUAAAAAGGCAAAGAACAUUUAUAAUGAUAUUCAAUAAUCCAAAAUUUUCUACUUAAAAGUCUCUUCCUCCUGCCAGAAACCCAAAGUAAUGCCAUUCAUAAGGGGCUGGGAGACCAUUUACUAUGCAAGAAAACUAUGUGCCUGCACACUUUGAGACCCAACCACAAUAUUCUCUCACUUUCUCUCCUUUAUCCACAUCAAACUCUACAGUUACUUCAAUUCCUACACUGUGCAGAUAUUUCCGUGAAUUAUUCUUUUUGUUGGCAGUCUGUCAACAGAACAGAAAGUUGUAAAUGAAGCAACAUUAAUACUGGCCACAGAUUUCAUCUUUCACGUUUAUUGCCUGUAUUAUUACUUUUUUUACAUUAUCAUUACCCACUAACCUGGAUCUCCAAAACAAUAACGAAAGUAAUAAAUACACUGUAAAUCUCUGUUUCAUUCUUUUCUUGAUUCAUGCUACCUUUGGUAAUUCUCCUUCAUAGAUGGAUUAAAUAGAAUGUUUAGUUACUACAUACUGUUGUUACAGCUUGAUGAUGGUAUUGGAUACUAUUAGUUCCCUCAAAAUAUUCAGCACCUAACAUUCUGACUGUACGCCUAUCACUAGAGGUCUGGGGGGGGGGGGUCUUGAUGAAAUCUUGGAAAACACAAAAAUACACAUUUCAGGUAAAGAGGUUUCUACAGACAAGGGAAACUGUGAGCCUGAUAAGGAAUUAUAAAGUAUGUGAAAGAGGAGGGAUAUUGAAGAAUGGAAAAUAGCAAUUUAAAAAUGCCAGUGGGAUAAAGUAUUUCUGAUGGGAAUACACAAGAUUACCUCGGGAAUGAACCACUACUGAUAAUCAUAAUGUGGCCUCUUCCCUCAUGCCCUCCAUCUUAAGGAUAAGUUAAUACGAGGCUGGUAAGUGAUUUACCUGAACACCUAAAGGUACAGCUUGAUCCAGGAGGAGUGCAUAGGGGAAAUUCAUAUCCCUGCACUGUAUGUAUGAUUAUUUCUGCAAUAGUUGCCCCAUCAUACCACUCUCACCUACUCAACCCUACACAUUCCGUGAUGAUGCAUUAAAUGGUUGAGGCAGUUAUUACACUGCAUAAGACACCUAUACCUGAAGAUCUUCCUUCUCAGUCAGUGGAAGGCACAGAAGAGUUUCUGCAAUGAAUUUCUGUUUCUUUCCUUUGUCUCUGUAAACAGUAAAAGGGGCUCAGAUUUUCUGUGAAAACUGGUCAACUUUAUUUUCUAAAGCAAUUAGGCAUAUGAGAAAGAAAAGCUGUGAAUAAUUCCAGACUAAAAAAAGCUAAAGAAACAUGGCAAUCCAAUAUAGUACUUGAAUGGGGGGAUCCCUGGGUGGCGCAGCGGUUUGGCGCCUGCCUUUGGCCCAGGGCGCGAUCCUGGAGACCCGGGAUCGAAUCCCACAUCGGGCUCCCGGUGCAUGGAGCCUGCUUCUCCCUCUGCCUGUGUCUCUGCACCUCUCUCUCUCUCUGUGACUAUCAUAAAUAAAUAAAAAUUUAAAAAAAAAAUUUGAAUGGGUCUGUGUUCUGGAGGAGAAAAAAAAAAUGUUCCCAAAUCAUGGUUGGAUUAAUUAGCAAUUUGGGAAUACAGCCUGUAGAUUACAUGAAAGUAUUAUAUCAAUGUUAAAUAGAUCAAGGUUUUACACGACUCUUGUUUCAUAAGAAAUUAUUACCACUCUUAGGGAAUACACACUGAAAAGUUAGGGCUGAAAGGACACAAUUUAUGUAAUUUACCCUCAAAUCAUCAGACAGAAGGAGAGAACAAUACAGCAAAGAGGCAAAUAUUAAUAGAUGAAUCUGGAUAGAAGACAUGUGGAUUCUUC